GAUGAGAUGGUUUAGUGACAGAUAGGAAUGAUUGGACUCGGUGAUCUAACAGGUCUUUUCCACCCUGGUGGUUUUAUGAUUCUAUGAGUCUCUCUGAGCGCGCCGCGCCGCAGGGCACGCCGGGAGCUGUAGUUCUGAGCAGGCAGCGCCGCGGGGCACGCCGGGAGCUGCAGGCGGGCGGGGCUCUAUGUCACGAGGCGGUACCGGGCAGCGCAGGACGUACUGGGGCUCCUCGGGCUCUCCCGGGCUUCAGAGCCGAGCGGGGGCUGCUGGCGGGCGGCUGCUGCUCCUUGCAGGCGAAGAAGAAGGGCGGGCGCAGCCGGGCUGAGGCGAACGCCCUCUCGGGGCGCUCGGCACUGAGACUUCGCCCCGAGCUGAGCGCUUGGCCCCACUCGGGAGCUCCCUGUGAGACACCGCGCGGAGCCCGCACUGGCAGCGAGCGGUUGCUCCACGGGGCGGGGCUUUGGCUCUGUUCAGGGAGGGCAGAUGGGUGGUUCCCUGCGGCUCCGGGUCGGUCUCUGCUGCUUCCAGCCGCGGCUGCGCGUCCUCUGCGGUUUCGGCCCGGUUUCCUGCCCUGCUGCCCGUGGCCCCAGAGUCCGGGCUUGUUGCUUUUGGACUCUGGGCUGCCUUGGAAAACACCCGUCCCCUCGUUGAGAGGACGUAUGGUAUGGGAAUGUGGUGGUUUCUGGGAGCUGGAAAGCCGGUAGGUGCUCAGAAAGGAGAACCUUGGGCAAGUUCACUUUCCUCAGCCUGUAGCUCCGCUGCCCCACAGCUGAGCUGACGAUUCAGAACCUGCCUCUGUUGGCCUUUUGCCACCAUCAGUGCUGCUGUGGUUGGGAGCUGAACCACAAGGUGCGGAGAAGGCUGUUGCUACUCCUGACGUGCAAAUCGGUGUCCGGAGGAAAAGGAAUUUCUUAGUGUGGGCAGCAAAGUUUAGUCUGCCAGAGAAGUUGGCUCCGGCCCUUUCUCAGUGGUCCUUUGGCCAAAUCGGGGGGAAAGUUACUUCAAUAUCAGCUCCAUGCUCUGUUCAGCAGCUGGAGCCUCUUGGAGCUGGAGUGGGCAUGGCAGAAGAUGGGAAUGUGGAGCACAAGGUGAGCCUUUUGAGGUCACAGGAGGUCAUCCUCCCAGAGGAUUGCAUUGCAGUGAAUAACUACACCAAAGACAGCAUAUGGGGCACAUGUCCAAGGAACUGACAGCAAGGUGGACACUGUGCUAAGGAACCACCAGUCAUAUUCUGUGUCUCUGUGCCUAGCAAUACCCAGUGUGGUGAGCUCGAAGAAUUUGAUCUUGGUAAUCAUUUUUAGGCAACUGUUCUAGGAGAUGAGACCCAGUGUGUUUUUCCUGAAAUCGUCUUCAUUUGAAGCAUAGACUCGGUUGGUUGGAAAAGACUUUUGAGUUCAUUGAGUCCAACCAUGCCUGUACAUUACUAAACCCUAUCCUGGAGCACAUUGUCUCCCCAUGUUUUAAAUACCUCCAGGGAAGGUGACCAAACCGCUUGCCUGGGCAGCCUGUUCCGGUGCCUGAUAUCCCUUUUGGUGAAGACAGAAUCAUAGAAAGAGGAGGGCUGCAGGUGUCCCUGAUAAUCACUUGUCACUCUUGUGGCUGUUCUGCGAUUUGCACUUUCUUGUCUCCUGAGUUACAGAUAGGCCCCACACAGUGCUGUCUUUACUCCUCGAGCAGGCAGGGUACAGAUCCCUUUGGCAAGAUGCGGGAAAGUUCUGCUCCAUAUGUAUGCACCUUUGUGAAACCCUUUCUCACCUGUCCUGUGGCUUCUGUGCAGACACAGACUUGGGCUGUGUUUUCUAGGGGUGGCACAGAGGUGGGGGCACUGCUUCAUGGUGUUGGGUUAGGAAGAUGUUGGCUUGGGCAGUGGCAUUCCCUCUGCAUCCAGUCUAUGAGUGUAACUACUCCCUCCAUUAAAGAGCUAAAGCUGAGCAUAAAGAGCAGGAUUGUCAGCAUGACCAUGACUGGCAGUUGCGGAACACUUUGAAAGCACAGAAAGCAUCAACACAGACACACACAUCUAGGAGAAACAACUUUUUUAUUCCUUCUGUGGCUCUACCUGGAAUAUUUUCAUUUUGUGACUGAUGUGCUAACAAAUGCACUUCACAAUUGCACAUUGGGGGAGGCUGUAUGAUGACUGGUGGUUCAGUCGCUCUAGAAACCCAAGGAAAAUGUGGCUUGUUGUUGAGACUGUAAAGAAAGAGGGGAAAAAUAUAAGCCUUGUGUCAUCAGAGUGAUGGUUAGCUAUCCAUUAUAUUCCACCCCCAAAAUAUCACCUUCUCUUAAGACUGCAAAUGGUAUGGCUUGGCUCUCCGCAGCCAGCUGCCUUUGAAUUCGAGGGAGGACUUUGCCAGAAUGCUCCAAGAUGGAAUUUCUGGGAGGUGCUCCCUCUCUUAGGCAAUGAUCCCCUGCAUUGUGGUGAAUGAAAAGCAUGAAGCAAAAAGUUUACUAAUUGGAAGAAGUUCACUGCACAAAACUAUCUGCUAUAUCUACUUAGCGAAUAAGCUUACUCUACAGAUCUGCCCAUCAGCUCACCCAACUUUCAUCUAGUGCUCUUAGUGAGGUCAAAGGAGGACUGGAGUGACAAGAGAGCUUACAGCUCUAAGUUAAAAUAGAUCUGUCACUCUGCAGGACCUUAUUAUGAUACACCUGUUAUCACCUGCAAAUUUCAAAUGGCUUGCAAAAGAGCAGGCUUUCCCUUAUUUUUCCUGAAGCACCAAGGUCUGACAUGACUGAAUAUACAGAGAACUGCAAAUGGCAUUGGACAAAAUGAUGUGAUCAUUAAAACAAGCAAGAAAAAGCUACCUACAUCCACCUGUCUGGAUGAAAAUUUUCAAAUGCAGGACCUAAAACUUCCAAAAUCACCUUUUAAGUUUGAUUCACUGGAGAACUAUGGUUCUGGAAAACAGCAAAUGCUUCACAGAUCUGUAACACAAGUUACAACCAAUGAAAGUUGCGGAAUUGCAGAGCACGCUACAACUAGAGGAAAUAAACCACUCACCAUUUUACCUGUGGACUGGCAUCCCGAGUGGUCUCAUCUAGAAAAUAUAGUUGUGUGCAAGACACUGAUAGCUUCAUUACCUGGAUGUAAUUCGGGGCUUGUUUAUGCUCCCCUUGGCAUAUGAGUGAAUUAAUGA